rnacentral:rRNA from 1 species
AAUCCUACGGGAGGCAGCAGUGAGGGAUAUUGGUCAAUGGGGGAAACCCUGAACCAGCAACGCCGCGUGAGGGAAGACGGUUUUCGGAUUGUAAACCUCUGUCCUCUGUGAAGAUAAUGACGGUAGCAGAGGAGGAAGCUCCGGCUAACUACGUGCCAGCAGGCGCGGUAAUACGUAGGGAGCAAGCGUUGUCCGGAUUUACUGGGUGUAAAGGGUGCGUAGGCGGCUUUGCAAGUCAGAAGUUAAAUCCAUGGGCUUAACCCAUGAACUGCUUUUGAAACUGCAGCG